rnacentral:lncRNA from 1 species
GUUCAUGAAAAAAUAAUAAAUUAUAAAUGUAUUUCUAUAAAGUUUAAUUUUUAUAUAUUGUUUAUGUAAAAAUUUUAAUGUUUUCAAAUAUAUUCUUACCGUUAGAAUCCGUUAAAAAAUUUUAAUUAACCAUAAGUUAAAUUUUUAACUCUCGUUAAUUUAUGAGAUAAUUUAACAUUUUUGUUCUUUUUAUAUUACACUAUUGUAGCUUUUGGAAGGAUAUUUUCGUGAUGGCAAAAUUAAUAUUUUAAUUAAAAUAUAAAUGGUUUUAUACUGGUAACAAAUCAGAGGGACAUAUUUGAAAAUAUUAAAAUUUUUGUAGGAAUAACAUAUAAAAGUUGAACUUUAUAGAAACAUAUUUGCAAUUCACUCUACCCCAGGGACGGAGCUAUUAAGGGGCCACAAUGGCUAUGGCCCCCCCUAAAUUUUUCAAAAUCAUAUAAAAGCCCUUUAUAAUAAAAAUUAAAAUAUUAUAAAUUUUAAUUUUAGAGGGCCAAAUUAAUUUUUUUUAAAAAAUUUGUGUCUCAAUUUUUUUUUCAAAUUUCUUCGUCCUUUUCCUUCAACUAUUACAGUCUUGUUUCUUUUUGAGUAUAUUGUCGUGAUCAGUGAAUCUGACAAAUUUUUUUUCUUAUUAUCUGAGAUCGAAUUUUUUUCCUAUCAAAUUUAAAUUUCUGGCUUCGUCCCUGCUCUACCCUAUUCGAAAAUACGAUAUGAGAUAGACCAAAAGAGUAAUUAAUUGAUUAAAAUGAAUAUCAUAUUUAAGUUUUAAAUUAUUUUCAAAAAUGUAUAAAGUACAGAUCAUAAACUUUUUAAGAUACAAUAACUAAAUUUCUAAUUUUUGAUUGGACAAUUUUUUUUAUACAAAACAUAUUAAUAGUACCAAGUCAUCAGUGCGAUUAGAUUUUUGGUCAUUGAAUGAAAAGAUGUUCUGUAACGACCCAGCCCACUAGCAACAAUAACUCGUUGGGCCCAACAACCGGCCCAAAAUGCUUAAGCCCAGUUAUUAUUACUACUGUCUAAAUCUCUUAUAAACCCAAUGACAACUCCUUUCCCAUCCGAUGUGGGACUAUUGGGGUGUCAUAGACUCCUCCCGUUAAGGCCCUGACGUCCUCGUCAAUCCAAUCACACACACAGUGCAAGAUCACCAGGCGAUGUGAGACUCGUCUCGCUAGCCCGUCAUCCAGACCCUGGCUCAGCCGAGACUCGCCACACAUGUCCAACUGGUGAACCGGCUCUGAUACCAAAUGCAACGACCCAGCCCACUAGCAAUAAUAACUCAUUGGGCCCAGCCAACAGCCCAAAAUGCUUAAGCCCAGUUAUUAUUACUAGUGUCUAAAUCUCUUAUAAACCCAAUAACAACUCCUUUCCCAUCCGAUGUGGGACUAUUGGGGUGUCACAUGUUCGGUUAGGAUGAUAGCGAUCCAUUAAGAUUGAGUGAGUAGUUUGUUGAAUAGUAUGAUCUAAUAGGUAAAAAUGGUUAAUGGAGUAGAUCUAAUGACAGAAAACUUUUAGCGCCAAGCUCUUGGUGCUAUUAAUAGUGUUGUCAUUAUUACAACAAAAAAGGUGUAUAGUGACACUUUUACAACAAAAAAUGUGUAUAGCGAUACUUUUAAAUGUCGGUACAGGUCAAAUAGAGUGCUGCUGGUUAAAUUACCAAUACUUUUUAAAAGUGUUGCUAUAUGUAGGGUUACUAUAGAUAGAGUCGUCUUAAUAUUUGGUACUCACUCUUCCAGCGACCUGUGGCUGAGGGAUACGUGACGAUUGUAGCCCUCUACGGUCCCUAUAAGAUUCUCGUGGCCGAACUCCAGUCGCCGGAACCCUAGCUCUCGUCGGCUGCAAAUGCGGAGGAGGAGAAGGGGAGAUGGUGAUCAAUUUUUUUUUUCCUUUUUUAUUUGUAAUCAAGCCGAGUGGGCUGGUUGUAGUUGGUUGAGUAGAGAAAUUUUUUAUUUUUGAUUUGAUUGGGCUUUAAAUUUUGGUCUUAAUAGAUUUUUUAAAAAAGUUUAGGCAUAAAUGGGAUACAUAUAUAAAAGUGUCUCAAAAAUAUAGCCCUAUAAUUUUCUCAAAAAAAAAAAAAAUAUCCCUAUAAUCUAAUUCUCUUGUAGUGCAUGUGGUGUGUCCACAUUGGCCCGUUCAAAUUCAACACGAGCCAUAUUAGAUGUGGAU